rnacentral:lncRNA from 14 species
UAGGAAUGGAGAGUUCACUCUCUGAGCAAGUUGUAAUCACAGGAUAGCUGUGGUCCCCACAGGGUAAAUAAACUAAUCCAAACAAAAAGAUGAAAAUAAACGAAGAUUCCUGUCUGUCGCCCAGCCCACCGCCUG